rnacentral:lncRNA from 10 species
GCUGGUGUCUCCAAAGCCUCCUCGCACCAGACGUCUCCUGCUGCCAUUCCCCAGAGCCUCUUCCACUCUCCGAAUCCUUCUCUGUCCUUAUUCAGCCCUUGUGUUUCUUUUAGGAUCAGGGUGGCCCUUUCCUGGCCCCCAUGCAGUCUCCUACCUGGGCAUUCUCGCUGCAGUUUCUCACGGCUGCCGCUAGUCCCUUCCUGUUCUUAUUCUUUGUCCCCACUCAGAUCACACUGAGGCCAGGGGUUAGGGUGCUGUCCAUGUGCACAGGGCUCCCAAGAUGAGAUCUCCAGCUCGGAAUGCUCCGCGGAGCCUCCAUCCGUGUACAGAUCUGCCCACUGAUGCCCGCACAUGGAUGCCCGGAAGGCUCCACACCCUUACAGUGGCCCAAGGUGCCACAGAAUCUGAGCCCACCCCGCACCCUCCCACCCCACAAACCUGGUCUCUCCAGGAGAAGUCUGCCUUGUGGUCCAGUUUGAGGCAUUGGAAACCCAGCUCUUGCCUGCACCUCCUCUGCCCUGUGCCACACCCCCAUCCCUCUGUCACCCCUCCUCCCUGAGGCAUGGGGCUGCCAGCUCCUUUCUCAGCAUCCCUCCCCUCACCCCUUCCAGUCGCGAGUGACCCCCACACACCCCCAACACUGCCCUCAGGCACCUGCAGCAGCCUUGCAAUCUGGGCCAACCCUGCCCCCUCCAGGCCUUCAUUCCUUUUGCAGUCAGUGAUCUUUGAGGAAGUUAAAUCUGACCUGUCGGUUCCCUUCUCCUGCCCCCCACAUCUAUGUACACACGUGAUGAACACAUCCACAUCUAUGUACACAGGCACACACAUGCAAAACACCUGUACACAGUGCAUGCCAGCAUACACAUACAUGUACAUAGGCACACACAUGCAAAACACCUGUACACGUGCAUGCACGCAUACACAUCCAUGUACAUAGGCACACACAUG